UACAACCACCUCAACUAAAGAUUGAGCCUGGUCUUAGACUCCUUUCAUAGCAAUUACAAAUCUCCACACAUUUGGGGUCCACUUGAUUUCCUCAAGUUAAUGAUGCUAUUGUAGACUUAGGAUCACUAGAAUUGUGAAUGAGUUCUAGAAUUCCAAGACCAGAGUCACUCUAGGGAGAGUACCAAAGUAUCAGGAUAUCUUGGUUAGGAGAACUCUGAGAAAAUUAGGUCUAUGGCUAGUCCUAUUCUCUUCCUCUGGCUCAAUGUAGGUACCACUUUCUCAUUUGACGGACUCUGAUGACUUAUGGCUAGAAGAUCUUCCUUCUCUAGGCUGGGAUUGUUUAUUUCAAUUGUCAACUUGAUUAGAUUAAGAAACACAUAGGGCUUCAAUGAAUUAGCCUUUGGGUAUAUCCAUGAGGAUGUUUCCAGAGAGGAAAUAGGGAAGGCACAACUAGAAUGUGAUGUCACCACCUCAUGGGAUAGCCUCCUAGACUACAGGAAAAGUGGAGAAGCUGAGAACUAGGCAAUCCAUUAUCUGCUUCCUGGUAAGUGCCAGGGUCUAAGCUGGUCGUGCAAUCAUACCAUCUCUCCUGUGCUGGUAUUCUGUUCCUUUGAAUUUCCACCCCAAAUAAAUCCUCUAUGACAUUUUUCGUCUAGUAUUUAGGCAUGUUUAUAAGAAAAGUGACUGAUAUAGAUGUCCACCAUCCCUCCUUGGUUCUUUUAAUUACCUCUUUCUCAUGUGUGUUAGUAACUGAAAUCCUCUCAUUCAACUAUGUCUUCAGGGAUAUCAUCUAGUAAACUCAGAGCCCUUUUGCAGCAGACAAAGGUACUCAUUUUCAAAAGUCUUUGACCAAAAAAGAAAAUGAUGAGACUGCUAGGUGUUUAGCUUUUCAAAGGUAAAGGUUCUUUCUGAACUAGCACUUUAAAAUACUUUUUCUUUACAUUUAAAAAUUAUACUUAUUUAUUUGCUUUAUGUGUGUACGUACUUACCUGGAUGUGUUUAUGUGCACCACAGACAUCCAGGAGCCUACAAAGGCCGGAAAGCAAAAGACCCCCUCGAAUUGGAGUUACAGGCAGUGGUGAGCCACCACGCAGAAGCUGGGAAUGGAACCCAAGUCCUCUGAAAGAGCUCUUUACUGUUGAGCCAUCUUCAUAUCCCCUCUCUCCAGGUCACCUGUAUUCACACUGAAGUUAUUAUAGCACUGGUGGAGGGCCUGAAUUAUAGAAGAUGCAGAUCACCUUAACUGCUCUGCAAUUACAUUGCAUUGAUUUUGUUUCCACAGGGGCCAGUGUCUGAUCCCAAUGAGUAAUCCCACCUUGGAUCUAUUCACCUGCAUUGCUUUCCCAGCUUUAUGCAACAGCACUUUCUCUGAUAUCCAGGUCACCAAGGAGGAACCCAGCUUUUGCAGGAGUCACUUGCCUCACCCCAGCUAAAAGUCAGGACCUCAAAUUGGCAAAUCCUUUGUGUUUCCAAGCAUAAAGAAUGCUUCCUUUCAUUUACUGAACCCAGGGAUUGAUUCUUUUACUCCUUCCACUUGAACGAAACAUGUCUAUAAGGACAACACCUGUCCCACUUUCUCAGAAAGGAGGCUGAGCUCAAACUGCUGGUUUACAAACACCUUGAAGAAUAAAGGUGGGCUGUUGAGAAUAGCUUGCACAUGUCUCAGAUGGAGAAGUGUGGAAAUCUAUUGGAGGGGAACAUUUUGUGAGAGUCUUCAUCCAGUAGCUGAAGGAAGCAGAAGCAGACACCCACAGCUGAGC